rnacentral:lncRNA from 1 species
AAUGGCUUAUAUGACUUUUCGAUAGUUAUUAUGAAAUCAUAUUUGCUUUUUAUGACUUUUUAUGACAGUAUUAUUGCUUUAUGUUGUACUAAAAAAAAAUUUUAUUUCAGUAUACUAUUAAAAAGAAGAAGUCAUAGCUAUUAUUGAUACAGUUUUAUUAAGUAAUGAGCGGUCAUUUACAUCUAUACAAGUUUAUAUAAAGUG